rnacentral:rRNA from 1 species
UGAACGCUGGCGGCGUGCCUACUACAUGCAAGUCAAGCGACCAGAUGAGGAGCUUGCUCCUCUGACGUUAGCGGCGGACGGGUGAGUAACACGUGGAUAACCUACCUAUAAGACUGGGAUAACUUCGGGAAACCGGAGCUAAUACCGGAUAAUAUAUUGAACCGCAUGGUUCAAUAGUGAAAGACGGUUUUGCUGUCACUUAUAGAUGGAUCCGCGCCGCAUUAGCUAGUUGGUAAGGUAACGGCUUACCAAGGCAACGAUGCGUAGCCGACCUGAGAGGGUGAUCGGCCACACUGGAACUGAGACACGGUCCAGACUCCUACGGGAGGCAGCAGUAGGGAAUCUUCCGCAAUGGGCGAAAGCCUGACGGAGCAACGCCGCGUGAGUGAUGAAGGUCUUCGGAUCGUAAAACUCUGUUAUUAGGGAAGAACAAAUGUGUAAGUAACUAUGCACGUCUUGACGGUACCUAAUCAGAAAGCCACGGCUAACUACGUG